ensembl:lncRNA
CCUGAGAAUAGACGCUUGUGAGUGGUGGGCCCGGCCGUGGCCGGGAAGUUCGAUCGGAAGUCUGGGACAAGCCAGGGAACACGCAAAGGCCGGGGAAAGAACUCAGGACGCGUGCGCGUCAGGUGUGACGCAUGCGCAGCGCACCCCAGACCCCGGCCGGCCGCUGUCCAACCAUCCCCCUUAGUACGAAUAGGUUGGAGCACUGAGACUUCCGGUUCCGCAAGGCUCACCUUUCAGGUGAGGUUUAUCUCGGCUCAAGAUCACUGAGAGGGAGACCGUCUCAAAGAGUAAUUGUAUCCUGCGUAGCACAAAAGUCACCGUGUUCUGGGAGGAGGGAGGCGCCGCUCCUUCCUCCAGGUCCCCAGUUCACAGCAAAUUCGAGGAGGAAGUAAGGAGACUCCUGUACACUGGAGCGCCCGCCCGCUGUCCCGUCAGACUGGGCGCUGCGCCCUGCCGGCUGCGACCGACCGUUAGGCCAGGACCCAGGGCUUCCGGCCGCCCUUCGCUGCCCAGUGUGGCCUCGACAGCAGGCCAGGCCUCGCUUCGUUGUUUUGAUUUGCUUUCCCUGGCCUGCGCUCAAGCGCCUUCUCGCGCUUGUGCGCAAGCUGAAAGUCUCCGCGGUGGAGCUGCGGGAAGCGGAGGAGACGCGAAAUCUGCAUGAGUAAAACGGGACCGGUACCGACAGAGAGAUCCCUACAGGGCUUCCCGGGAGUCCCCAGAGGUUUCAGGAAACACCCCUCCACUGCAGGCGCGGGCUCCACAACAGCAGACGUCAGCCAACAUGAGCAGGAGCCUGAGUGAGUCGGAUGGCGCGCGUCAGCUCCUGGCCCUGCCUGAAACGCCCCCGCUGCUUCACAGGGGAGGAGCUCACAGCUGGGCCCACAUCCCGCCGUGCUGGUCAUCUGAUGGAGGUCACAGGCUCUAGGCCACACGGAUGGAGUGAAAGAUGUUUCUGGAACGCUGAAGGGCAGAACAUAGUUAAUUCUGGCAAUUUUGUGGGGCAGCUUCUGCUUCUUCAUUAGGACAGAAAUAGCCAGAGAUGAUUUUACAUAAGGAAGUCACAGAGGGACAGCAGCGGGGGUGCUUCUGGCACCAGGUUGCUUUUCAGCAUUUUAAAUAAGUUAAUAGCAUAGCUUCCAUCACUCCCGAAUAAAUAUCCAAUUAUGUUGCUGAAUUUUGAAACAUCUUAAAGUAAUAUUUCAAUUAAUAUAUCGUUUGUUAUUUUCAUAUAAUAGCAUUUAUUGGAGCUCAGGAAAAACUUUGUAGAGAAUUACCCUCCGAAAGACCUAAGUCUAAUUCCUAAUAUAACUUGUUUCUUUUGAGAUUUCACUUUUGCCUUUUUUUCUUUUCAUAAAUCAAAUUUCAUUCUAUUUUUCUCCUUCCUUCUGGAGCAUGAAAAAGAUUUUAUUUCUUCUUUAGUUAUUCUAGGACAAAUUAAAGUUUUAAUUGUAAGUUUUAAAUUUGGCAUCGUGUGACAUUAUGAAAUACAUGUUCUAUUAGUCAUUAGCUAAAAUAGCAAAUGGCUUUCACUACUGUGCUUUCCUUUUAUUUCUUUUUUGGGCGGGACUAGGGAUUGAACCCAGGCCCUCACACCUGGCAGACAAGCACUCUACCGCUGAGCUACACCCAGCCCCUUUUAUUUUUAUUUCGGGAAGGGUCUUGCUAAGUUGCCCUGACCCGGCUGGCUGACCUGGAAGUUGUGUCCCUUCUGUCCCAGCCUCCCGCACAGCCAGGCAUACAGACGUGCACCACCACAGCAGAAGCAAACUGGUAACUUCAAUUGUACCAAGAAACUUCUCAUUACCUGUCUCCUUGUCUUUUCCUAAAGCACAAGCUUGUAAUCUAUGGGCAGGGCCAGACCUCAGGGGAUGCUGCCCUACAGGGACACUGGCCCUGCUUCUGAGCCAAGUGUCUGGUGAGUGAGGUGGAGAAGGAAAGGCCCAGAUGUCACCUGUCAGGGAGGCCCAGUUGCCCUCAGGUGGGAGCAGUGGAAGAUGAAGCAGCUUUCCUUCCACAGCUGCUAAGCCUUGCUGGGAGUCCGUGGGUGGCUUCAGUGUUUUCUCCGGAGGAUGGGAUAACACUACCCCUCAUGUUGCCACCUGCCACAGUUUACCAUAGUCUCAGAAAAGGCGAAGGACAGGGGCUUCUGUUCUUUGUCACUCCAUGGAAGGAACUUUAGGACGCUGCAGGACUUUUUGGAAAGUGGCAGCUAAAGCUCUGGGGAUAAACGCUCCAGAGGGAAGGUGAAGACAGUGAGGGUUGUGCGAGACCUGGAACCUCUCGAACGGCCCACGGGUGGGGUGCUCACACAGUGUCUCCGAGUGUGUGGUGUGGCACAGGACCCCGCAGCACCUUCGGAUUUGCACUGCCAGGCCGACCUCGGAGGGACGGACUUGCAGCUACAACACAGACACCUCUGGGGUGAAAUGUGGCGACGGUUUGACAGGCAUAGCAGGAGCUCCGGCCAAAAAGGAUUUAUCCAAUUAAAGUUAUGGGAUGAAUUUUGGCUGGCAGCAUGUAAUUACCCGGCUUGGAGCGGAGCCAGGAUCCUGAGGUUAACACCCGUGCUCUUGCCAGCAGCCUCCUACCUGCCAAGGCUCGGCAGGGCUGGAGCGCGCUGUUGUGACAUCUCGCACAAUGCUGGUGACGCACAGCCUGGACCUGGUUUCUUCAGCGCUCAUUAUGUUCCUUCUUUUUAUGCCACAUUAGGCUCGAAACCAAAUGUCCACAUAGAUGUCAAUUUCCUCAAAUCUGAGUUUAAAAUUAUAAUUAGAAAAUAAAAAAUAGAUUUACAAAUUAAUUUAUUCCGUCAGAGUGGUUAUCGAGCGAUUAUUUCACUGUAGGAGUGAAACUGGAUCAGAGCGGUGAUAUUGAACCCUCGCCGCCUUAGGAGAAAAAUGGACCAGGAGCCAGGUCGGGCCUGGGUGGGAGAGCGCCCCGGGCCCACAGACAGCCGGGCAAGAGACAAGCCC